AGCAGAAUUUAUGAUGGAAGGGGCCUCCUUGCCCUGGGACAGCCAAUCACCUGUUUGACCUGUUCACUUUGGUAAAGUCCUCUGCCAGACCAGCCUCUUUCUCCUAUUGAAUGU
rnacentral:lncRNA from 1 species